AUGACGCCGCCGGCGGCGGCCUCGCCGGGGCGGAAGUCUCCGGCCGCGGUCCUCUUCCUCUGCGUGGUCACUAUCUCAUUACUCAUGUUCAUACUCCUUGCCUCCUACACCCCCCGCCUUCAGCCCCACGGCCGCAGCCCCCACCGCCGCCUCAAGCUCCACCCCAAGAACUCCGCCGCCGUCGCUUCUUCCUACGGGGCCGGCGCUGUCCACGAUUCCGGAGGAAACCGCCACGCGGCGCCCUUCGACCCGGCCAUCGCCGAGCUGGAGCGGCGGCUGGAGGACAAGGAGUGGGAGCGCGAGCACUACCGCAUCCUCCAUGGCGACGCCGAGAAGGACGACCACAUGAAGGAGUGGGAGGAGUUCCUCAAGGAGGAAGAGGACUUCAUCAACGACGACGAUCGCUUCAACGUCUCCGACCGCAUCCGCGCGCUUUUCCCCAAGAUCGACCUCAGCCCCAAGGACGGCUUCGUCUCCCUCGAUGAGCUCAUCAGGUGGAACCUCGAUCAGGCCAGGUCUGACCAGCUCCAUCGCUCCGCCAGGGAGAUGGAGCUCUAUGACAAGAACGGCAACGGGAUCGUCUCCUUCACUACUUUCCGGGCGCUGCGCCAACAGUCCCAUGGAGAUGGCAACUCACUGGGGUUCCCGUGGUGGAAAGAGGAGCACUUCAAUGCUUCGGACGUCAACGGGGAUGGUUUCCUCAAUAAAACUGAGUUUCACGACUUUCUUAAUCCAAGUGAUUCGGAGAAUCCUAAAAUUAUCAACUUGCUCUGCAGACAAGAAUUAAGGCAGAGAGAUAAAGGUGGUGAUGGAAAGCUAAACUUCGAAGAAUACUUUCAUGGGCUACAUGACCAUAUACAUGGUUAUGAUGACGAGAAUGCAGCUAUUUCUCAUAUUGGGAACAUGACAAUUGCAAACGAGCGGUUUUCCAAGCUUGACAAAGAUAAUGACGGGUUCAUUUCAGAGCAUGAACUAGAACCUGUUCUUGAUAAGCUCCAUCUGUCAGAACGCUAUUAUGCCAGACAGCAAGCCACACAUGCUAUUUCAGAGGCAGACAAAGAUCAUGAUGGAAGGCUAACACUGGAAGAGAUGAUCGAGAACCCCUAUGCAUUUUAUGGUAGUGUUUACUUCAGCGACGACGAGGACUACUUCCAUGAAGAGUUCCGCUAA
rnacentral:rRNA from 1 species